AGCCGGACGGACCAACGCCGUAUGAGCGACGAAAGUGGGGCGGAUCGUCCCCUCUCUGUUAUUAGUGAAGAACAAAGGUGUAAGUAACCAGGCACUUCUAACCGGUACGUAAUCCGAAAGCCACGGCUUCAUACUCACCAGCAGCCCCGAUAAUACCUAGGUGCCAAGCGUUUUCUGGAAUUAUUGGGGCUAAAGCGCGCGUCGCCGGUUUUUCAAGUUUGAUGUGAAACCCCCCGGCUCAACCGUGGAGGGUCAUUGGAAACUGGAAAACUUGAGUGCAGAAGAGGAAAGUGGAAUUCCAUGUGUAGCGGUGAAAUGGGCAGAGAUAUGGAGGAACACCAGUGGCGAAGGCGACUUUCUGGUCUGUAACUGACGCUGAUGUGCGAAAGCGUGGGGAUCAAACAGGAUUAGAUACCCUGGUAGUCCACGCCGUAAACGAUGAGUGCUAAGUGUUAGGGGGUUUCCGCCCCUUAGUGCUGCAGCUAACGCAUAAGCACUCCGCCU
rnacentral:rRNA from 1 species